GCCCGGUUAGCUCAGUCGGUAGAGCAUCAGACUUUUAAGCAUCUUGUGGCCAUCUGAGGGUCAGGGGUUCAAGUCCCCUAUCGGGCG
rnacentral:tRNA from 1 species